CUGGGAUCUCCUCUGCUAGCUCUUGCUCCUGAUUAACACAGAUGAUUGAUGCUUGCCUGCUUUGGGGUGCUGCAAGAUGUUAAAAUGCCUGAGAUUGUGUGAUACCUAUGAUGCUGAAGGAAAGGCCACAGUUGUCUUUACCCUGCAAUCAGUUUCAUCAAGAGGGCAGUGGAGCCUUUACUAAACAUCCUGGAUCAUGUCAUAAGGGACGCAACACAUCAGCAAUAACAAGGCGUGAUGACGAUAUGUCUGAGGGUUACAAAGAUCAUGGAUUCCUUGGAUAUUUUCUUUUCUUUCCUUCUGGGGCUUGAGUGAUGAAAGCAUGGCCUAUGUGGCCCCAGUAAGUGAAGUACUGAAACUCUGGUCCACUCGGAUUGAAGUGAACAGACAGGGAAACAACACGAAACAAGUUUGUGUGAUGCCGGCAAGUCUCACCGCAGUGAGGCAUUCACUUAUCCUUCCCUCCUGUCUGCGUGUUCACUUUGACCACCUUGCCUGGCUUUUCAACAAGCGUUUUAUGUCCUGAUCAUUGAUCAGUGGAGAAUGCUCGAUGUGUUCAUUAUGGUUCUGCAGACAACUAUAUUGUUCCUUGGGACGACUGUACAUCCAUCCGUUGCUAAUCAGUGGCAUGCUGAGGAUUUUCCAUUAUUGAAGAUGUUGGAGGCAAGUCUAUCAGUAUGAGCCUAAGGCUCCAAGCAGCCGACUGGAAUGUAUAUCGCCAGAUAUGUUGAUUUACAGUCCUUUGGAUGUUGAUGACUUGCCCUAUCAUACAGGGCAGCGAUGUGAAGCCACUUCAUCUCCUUCUGUUCUGCUGACUGUGCGCCAUGUCCAAGGUUGCUAAUGAUUUGGAAGUUCCCAACUACUGAAAUGUGGCCCCUUAAGCCAGUGGUAACGGGCUGAGAAGAAAAUGCUGCAUUGUGAGAAAAGGUACUAAGAUACUCAAGAGUCCUGAAGAAACAAUCUCAAAUUCACAAUGCACUGUCCUGCAUUUCCAACCACUGGCUGAGGCUGCAGAGAUAAGGAUUAU